GGAGAAAAGCAGGGGAUCGCAAGACCUUGCGCUAAAGGAGCGGCCGAUGUCUGAUUAGUUAGUUGGUGGGGUAAAGGCCUACCAAGGCAACGAUCAGUAGCUGGUCUGAGAGGACGAUCAGCCACACUGGGACUGAGACACGGCCCAGACUCCUACGGGAGGCAGCAGUGGGGAAUUUUGGACAAUGGGCGAAAGCCUGAUCCAGCCAUGCCGCGUGAAUGAAGAAGGCCUUCGGGUUGUAAAGUUCUUUUAGUUGGAAAGAAAAAAUUAUGAUGAAUAAUCAUAAUUCAUGACGGUACCGACAGAAAAAGCACCGGCUAACUACGUGCCAGCAGCCGCGGUAAUACGUAGGGUGCAAGCGUUAAUCGGAAUUACUGGGCGUAAAGGGUGUGCAGGCGGCCUUGUAAGUCAGAUGUGAAAGCCCCGGGCUUA
rnacentral:rRNA from 1 species